UACGUAGGGCCCAAGCGUUGUUCGGAUUUACUGGGCGUAAAGGGCGCGUAGGCGGCUUGUCAAGUCACUUGUGAAAUCUCUGGGCUUAACCCAGAACGGCCAAGUGAAACUGACAUGCUAGAGUGUGGAAGGGGCAAUCGGAAUUCUUGGUGUAGCGGUGAAAUGCGUAGAUAUCAAGAGGAACACCUGAGGUGAAGACGGGUUGCUGGGCCAACACUGACGCUGAGGCGCGAAAGCCAGGGGAGCAAACGGG
rnacentral:rRNA from 1 species